AACUCUUGAGCUCAAGUAAUCCUCCUGCCUUGGACUCCAAAAAUGCUGGGAUUAUAGGCAUGAGUCACCACACCUGUCCCACCUGUUUGCCACUUUUCUUUGAAGACCUAUUUCAUAUAUGCAUCUUUCAUAGCAUCUGAAGUAUUGUAUCACACUUUUAAUAUCCUUGUUAUUUUAUUAGACUAUGUUCCUUAAAGACUGAGGCAUGUCUACUUCAUUUUGUUAUUUAUAGCAUCCUGCACAGUGUCUGACACUUAUUAAACAUUUGCUGAAUUGGUGAUGAAAUUAAUUAAUUUAGGGGAGCUUACUUAGUUCCAACUGCUAUCCUAAGUGACUAUAUAGAUAGAUAUGGAGUGAAUAUUAUAUAAAUAUUAAACAAAAGUUCUCUGCCUUCAAGGUGGUUAUUGUUUAGUGGAGAAGAGGGCAUGUAUAUGAGUAAAUAGAGUAACAGUAAAAAGUAGUUUGCUAUAUAGAACAUGUUACGGUAUUUGAAAGGAAAGAGAAAUUACUCAAGAUGUUUCUUAGGACUGUCAGGUUUUACAUGGUGUUAUAAAGAUGAAGUUACACACUUCACUAUUAAAAAAUUCCUGUUCAAAAGAAAACAAAAUAAUAAAGUACAGAAAUCAAACUAACUCUUCCACAAGACUAAUAAGUACCUGUAACUGUGAAAACAGAGAGAGGGAGGGAGGGAGAGAGAGAGAGAGAGAGAGAGAGAGAAAGAGAGAAACAGAGAGAAACAGAGACAGUUACAGAAAUGAUCAAAGAAUUAUAGAUACAGUGAAAACAUAGUAAAGAUGCAACAACUACCAAAUAUAGUCAUGUAGUCUAACAAAGUUCUUCUUGUUAAUCAUUGUAGCAAGGCAGUGUAUGCACACAACUGGAAAGACUGGAGCAACUCAGAAUGGAAUGAGAAACUGUGUUGUUUGGGACAGUGAUGGCACCAGCUGGAUAUGAUUCUCAGGUUCCCUUGAAAUUAGGGAUGGCCUUAUGAUAGUUCUUGUCCAUCAGGCAUAAGCAGAAAUGUUGGCCAUUUGGGAAAAGCUUCAGUUUUAUCAGCAGAUAUACAUUCAUACUUUGAGGCGGCUGGCAAGAUGGCGGAAUAGAAACAGCUUCGGUCUGCAGCUCCCAGCGAGAUCAACCCAGAAGGCGGGUGAUUUCUGCAUUUCCAACUGAGG
rnacentral:lncRNA from 1 species